UACGGAGGGUGCAAGCGUUAUCCGGAUUCACUGGGUUUAAAGGGUGCGUAGGUGGCUUUGUAAGUCAGUGGUGAAAUGCCGCAGCUCAACUGCGGAACUGCCAUUGAUACUGCUUAGCUUGAAUCACGUCGAGGUGGAUGGAAUAUUACAUGUAGCGGUGAAAUGCUUAGAUAUGUAAUAGAACACCGAUUGCGAAGGCAGUUCACUAGGCGUGUAUUGACACUGAGGCACGAAAAGCGUGGGGGAUCAAAACAGG
rnacentral:rRNA from 1 species